AACGAACGCUGGCGGCAUGCCUAACACAUGCAAGUCGAACGAUACCUUCGGGGCUUGUGGCGCACGGGUGCGUAACGCGUGGGAAUCAGCCCUUCGGUUGGGUAUACCUGAGAGAAAUUUCAGCUAAUACCUUAUAAUGUCUUCGGACCAAAGAUUUAUCGCCGAGGGAUGAGCCCGCGUAGGAUUAGGUAGUUGGUGGGGUAAUGGCCUACCAAGCCGCCGAUCCUUAGCUGGUCGGAUAGGAGGAUCAGCCACGCUGGGACUGAGACACGGACCAGACUGCGACGGGGCGGAGCAGUGGAGUAUAUUGGGGGAUGGACGCAAGCCUAGUCCAGCAACGCCGGGUGAGAGAUCAAGGCCUUAGGGUUGUAAAGCUCUUUUACACGGGAUGAUAAUGACAGUACCGGGAGAAUAAGCUCCGGCUAACUCCGUG
rnacentral:rRNA from 1 species